rnacentral:rRNA from 1 species
UACGAAGGGUGCUAGCGUUGUUCGGAAUUACUGGGCGUAAAGGGCGUGUAGGCGGACAUAUCAGUCAGGGGUGAAAUCCCGGGGCUCAACCCCGGAACUGCCUUUGAUACUGUAUGUCUAGAAUCUGUGAGGGGAUAGUGGAAUAUCAAGUGUAGAGGUGAAAUUCGUAGAUAUUUGAUGGAACACCAGUGCGAAGGCGACUAUCUGGCACAGUAUUGACGCUGAGGCGCGAAAAGCGUGGGGGAGCAAAACAGG